rnacentral:rRNA from 1 species
GUCGUAACAAGGUAGCCGUAGGGGAACCUGUGUCUAGAUUGAGUCC